UUCAUGGAUUGACAUAUAAGUUAAGUCAUAUAAGCCAUAUAAUAGACUUUAGAUGCAUAUCAAGUUUUCAUGUCAUGCUAAACGAAUAAGAUAUCGAAAACUGAUUAUACAUACCUUUGACUUUAUACUUUCAAGUAUUUGAACUAUAUGUUCAAAUCUACAUGUCUUUCAUAUGGAACCAAGUAUUUUUCUAUACGCUUCAAGCAUAUCCAAGACUUUGUCCUUCUGGGACUUAAUAUGAGCAUUUGUAUUGAGA
rnacentral:lncRNA from 1 species